rnacentral:rRNA from 1 species
UCGAGAAUCUUUCACAAUGGGCGCAAGCCUGAUCCAGCAAUGCCGCGUGCAGGAUGAAGGCCUUCGGGUUGUAAACUGCUUUUGUACGGAACGAAACGGCGAGCUCUAAUAAAGUUUGCUAAUGACGGUACCGUAAGAAUAAGCACCGGCUAACUACGUGCCAGCAGCCGCGGUAAUACGUAGGGUGCGAGCGUUAAUCGGAAUUACUGGGCGUAAAGCGUGCGCAGGCGGUUAUAUAAGACAGAUGUGAAAUCCCCGGGCUCAACCUGGGACCUGCAUUUGUGACUGUAUAGCUAGAGUACGGUAGAGGGGGAUGGAAUUCCGCGUGUAGCAGUGAAAUGCGUAGAUAUGCGGAGGAACACCGAUGGCGAAGGCAAUCCCCUGGACCUGUACUGACGCUCAUGCACGAAAGCGUGGGGAGCAAACAGGAUUAGAUACCCCCGUAGUCCCUGAGCGGGCUGGCAAGGCGCAU